rnacentral:rRNA from 1 species
AUUGAACGCUGGCGGCAUGCUUUACACAUGCAAGUCGGACGGCAGCACAGAGAAGCUUGCUUCUUGGGUGGCGAGUGGCGAACGGGUGAGUAACAUAUCGGAACGUACCGAGCAGUGGGGGAUAACUAAUCGAAAGAUUAGCUAAUACCGCAUAUAUUCUGAGGAAGAAAGCAGGGGACCAUUUGGCCUUGCGCUGUUUGAGCGGCCGAUAUCUGAUCAGCUAGUUGGUGGGGUAAAGGCCUACCAAGGCGACGAUCAGUAGCGGGUCUGAGAGGAUGAUCCGCCACACUGGGACUGAGACACGGCCCAGACUCCUACGGGAGGCAGCAGUGGGGAAUUUUGGACAAUGGGCGCAAGCCUGAUCCAGCCAUGCCGCGUGUCUGAAGAAAGGGCUUCGGGUUGUAAAGGACUUUUGUCAGGGAAGAAAAGGAUAGGGUUAAUACCCCUGUCUGAUGACGUACCUGAAGAAUAAGCCCCG